rnacentral:lncRNA from 1 species
UCGGGCGUCCGGGUUUCGUCACCAUCAGGACGAGGUUCUCCUCCCAUUCCCAAUGGGGCUGCGGGGGCACGUAAGGGCCAUUGCCAGGGUCUCUCCCCCCAAUCCGGUCUAAAGGAACCGGACCUUCGACUUUGCUCAUGUCAGGAUGAGGUUCUCCUCCUGUUCCUGACAUGGCCGUGGGGGCGCGUUAGGGCGUUGUAAGACCUCUCCCCCCAUCCGGUCUAAAAGAACCGGGCCUUCAACUUUGAUCAUGUCAGGAUGAGGUUCUCCUCCUAUUUCUGACAUGGCUGUGGGGGCACAUUAGGGCGCUGUAAGGCCUCUCCCCCCAUUCGGUCUAAAAGAACCGGAACUUUGACUUUGCUCAUGCC